CCCACUGCCCCACAACUUCCUCUUCCUCGCCCUACAAAACCGCCACCUCUCCGCCAUCCUCUCCGGCGAACUCACGUCGCCGGAGCAACCAACAACGCCACCAACUCCACCGCCAGCAACCAUCAGUGAGCAACCACCAGUCCACUUCUUCUUCCUCACACCACGAACCAAACAGCCCCUUCCCCAUUCCGAGCUCCACCACCAUUCUCCGACGUCCCUGUGCUAAUUUUGACACUGCCGGAGCAUCGUCUCCGGCAUACCGUGCUCGCUGAUGACCCAUUGCUUCUGCAGCUUUGUUGAAUUUUUUUUUUUACUUAGUUAUAUUUUGUAGUAUAUUUUUGGUUCUGCUAAUGUUUGUUAUUGUUGGUUUGUUGUGCUACUGUUGGACUAUUUUUUGCGUUUAUAGCCAAUCCAUUUUGUCCCGUUUUAGAUCUGGCCGGAGUUGAAUUUUUCGGUGACUGUUUGAGAUCUCCGGCCAGCAUUUAAAUGAUUGGUGUUUGCUACUGUCUCUUUUCGUUUUGGGACUGGUUUUGCACUUAUUUUAUUUUCCAGCGAUGAGCUUAGCUUCGUCUUCGCAGGCGAAACUUGCUUCCUUUGGCUACUGCCCGCAGUUACUAUCGGUAUUCAGACUGAUUUUACUUUUCUGUUACUAAAUAAAUGUUGGCUUUGUACCCGAAAAAAUACUUUUGGCUAUCAAUGGUACUGUUACCUUUUUUUAUCGCAUUUAGUUAAAUUCAUUUGGGCGAAUACUAAACCCAAAUGGCCGAUGAAGAAAUUUCCGUCGAUUUCCAAGGCCUCCCAUGUACCCGGAGAUACAUCCCGAAGACGACACUCGGAAGGAACCCGAAGACUUCAUCGAAUCACUGUUUGUAUUUACUUUCCGCAUUUUUUUUUAUAACUGUACAAAACAUAAACUCAUAGUAUAGUGGAAACUUUAUUUUUGGAAUGACGGGUUGAUAUAUUUAUUU